rnacentral:rRNA from 1 species
UACGAAGGGUGCUAGCGUUGUUCGGAAUUACUGGGCGUAAAGCGCGCGUAGGCUGUUUAUCAAGUCAGAGGUGAAAUCCCCAGGCUCAACCUGGGAAUUGCCUUUGAAACUGAUAGACUAGAGUGUCGGAGGGGAUAGCGGAAUUGCUAAUGUAGAGGUGAAAUUCGUAGAUAUUAGCAGGAACACCGGUGGCGAAGGCGGCUAUCUGGACGACAACUGACGCUGAGGCGCGAAAGCGCGGGGAUCAAACAGG